CCUACGGGGGGCAGCAGUCGAGAAUCAUUCACAAUGGGGGAAACCCUGAUGGUGCGACGCCGCGUGGGGGAAUGAAGGUCUUCGGAUUGUAAACCCCUGUCAUGUGGGAGCAAAUGAAAAAGAUAGUACCACAAGAGGAAGAGACGGCUAACUCUGUGCCAGCAGCCGCGGUAAUACAGAGGUCUCAAGCGUUGUUCGGAAUCACUGGGCGUAAGGCGUGCGUAGGCUGUUUCGUAAGUCGUGUGUGAAAGGCGCGGGCUCAACCCGCGGACGGCACAUGAUACUGCGAGACUAGAGUAAUGGAGGGGGAACCGGAAUUCUCGGUGUAGCAGUGAAAUGCGUAGAUAUCGAGAGGAACACUCGUGGCGAAGGCGGGUUCCUGGACAUUAACUGACGCUGAGGCACGAAGGCCAGGGGAGCGAAAGGGAUUAGAUACCCCUGUAGUC
rnacentral:rRNA from 1 species